CUUCUUUGUGUUCGGGUUAGGAGGAGCUAGGCUGCCAUCGGGCCGGUGCAGAUACGGGGUUGCUCUUUUGCUCAUAAGAGGGGCUUCGCUGGCAGUCUGAACGGCAAGCUUGAGUCAGGACCCUUAAUUAAGAUCCUCAAUUGGCUGGAGGGCAGAUCUCGCGAGUAGGGUACAAGGCACUAUGAAAUGAUCUAGUUUCGUGGGUGAGGGGCUGAAGGGCCUAUGAUGCACGGAGGCGGGGAAAGGAUUUAGAGAUAACAUGGUUUGAAAGGCGGGACCUGGUGCGGGGACGCUCUUGGGAGGAGUCUUCUCCCCAGCCUUAGCUGGUUUCAUGAUUUCUUUGCGUCUGUAGGCAACGCGGUAAAAAUAUUGCUUCGGUGGGUGACGCGGUACAGCUGCCCAAGGGCGUUCGUAACGGGAAUGCCGAAGCGUGGGAAAAAGGGAGCGGUGGCAGAAGACGGGGAUGAGCUCAGGACAGAGCCAGAGGCCAAGAAGAGUAAGACGGCCGCAAAGAAAAAUGACAAAGAGGCAGCAGGAGAGGGCCCAGCCCUGUAUGAGGACCCCCCAGAUCAGAAAACCUCACCCAGUGGCAAACCUGCCACACUCAAGAUCUGCUCUUGGAAUGUGGAUGGGCUUCGAGCCUGGAUUAAGAAGAAAGGAUUAGAUUGGGUAAAGGAAGAAGCCCCAGAUAUACUGUGCCUUCAAGAGACCAAAUGUUCAGAGAACAAACUACCAGCUGAACUUCAGGAGCUGCCUGGACUCUCUCAUCAAUACUGGUCAGCUCCUUCGGACAAGGAAGGGUACAGUGGCGUGGGCCUGCUUUCCCGCCAGUGCCCACUCAAAGUUUCUUACGGCAUAGGCGAGGAGGAGCAUGAUCAGGAAGGCCGGGUGAUUGUGGCUGAAUUUGACUCGUUUGUGCUGGUAACAGCAUAUGUACCUAAUGCAGGCCGAGGUCUGGUACGACUGGAGUACCGGCAGCGCUGGGAUGAAGCCUUUCGCAAGUUCCUGAAGGGCCUGGCUUCCCGAAAGCCCCUUGUGCUGUGUGGAGACCUCAAUGUGGCACAUGAAGAAAUUGACCUUCGCAACCCCAAGGGGAACAAAAAGAAUGCUGGCUUCACGCCACAAGAGCGCCAAGGCUUCGGGGAAUUACUGCAGGCUGUGCCACUGGCUGACAGCUUUAGGCACCUCUACCCCAACACACCCUAUGCCUACACCUUUUGGACUUAUAUGAUGAAUGCUCGAUCCAAGAAUGUUGGUUGGCGCCUUGAUUACUUUUUGUUGUCCCACUCUCUGUUACCUGCAUUGUGUGACAGCAAGAUCCGUUCCAAGGCCCUCGGCAGUGAUCACUGUCCCAUCACCCUAUACCUAGCACUGUGACACCACCCCUAAAUCACUUUGAGCCUGGGAAAUAAGCCCCCUCAACUACCAUUCCUUCUUUAAACACUCUUCAGAGAAAUCUGCAUUCUAUUUCUCAUGUAUAAAACUAGGAAUCCUCCAACCAGGCUCCUGUGAUAGAAUUCUUUUAAGCCCAAGAUUUUUUAUUUGAGGGUUUUUUGUUUUUAAAAAAAAAUUGAACAAAGACUACUAAUGACUUUGUUUGAA
rnacentral:sRNA from 1 species